UUCUCUUCUGCCUGGUAAUUAUCUUCCUUUAGUGUGGGGGAUGCCCAAGGCCUGGCUUCAGGCUGUGGGAGAGCAGAGGAGGAGCUGGAAGAGCAGCCUACAACAGCUGUCGGGAGGGACCAGGGCUAGUUCACACUUGGAAGCUGGGAUGCCAGGACCGGCCCUCCUGCCUCUCUCGGUCUCCAUCGGCCUCCUGGUCAGCUCACUCCACACUGAGACGAUUCUGAAGUAAGAUGCUCCUGGCUCCUCACAGACUCUGCUACAAGAGACAGAGUGAAGUGUCCCCAGGGCUCAGAGCCUUUGACUCUGCUCCUUCCCUUCCCACGGCUGAGUUGGCACAGGAGCACCUGGGUGAGCUGCACCAGACUUAAGAAGAUGAGGCCCCCGAUUCUGUUAGCUGCCCUCCUCUGGCUCCAGGACUCUUUGGCCCAGGAAGAUGUAUGCUCAUCCUUGGAUGGGAGCCCAGACAGGCAGGGUGAAGGUCCACCUCUGAGUGUGAACGUCAGCAGCCGCGGAAAGC
rnacentral:lncRNA from 1 species